UCUAUGUUAGUAAAGCCUGCUCAAUGUAAAAUAAAUAGCCGCAGUAUUUUCCUGUGCUAAGGUAGCAUAAUAAUUUGCCUUUUAAUUUAAGGCUAGCAUGAAAGGUAUCACAUAUUGAUAACUUUAUUAAUUAAACUAAUCGAACCUUACUUUUUAGUAAAAAAGCUAAAAUUCCUAAAGAAGACGACAAGACCCUGACAAACUUUACAAUUUUGUUUCUCUGGGGGGGUGAAAAAACUUUAUCUUUUUAAUUCUAAAACAACAGAAACUUUCUAUAAUUUAUCCAAGUUACUGCAGGGAUAACAGCAUAAUUUUUUCCUAAAGAUCUUAUCCAAGAAAAAGUUUGUGACCUCGAUGUUGAAUUAGAAAUCUAUAAUGGAGCAAAAUCUUUACAAGUAAGUCUGUUCGACUUUUAAUAUUCUACAUGAUUUGAGUUCAGACCGGCGUAAGCCAGGUCGGUUUCUAUCUCUUUUUAAGAAUUUUUAGUACGAAAGGAUCAAAAUUCUUAUUUUUCCAUUUCU
rnacentral:rRNA from 1 species